UUUGGGAAGUUUUCUGGUUGCUUCUAGGUCUGUCUCUGUCCCUCUUCUGAGAUGUUCCUGGUUUCUCAGCACCUAUGGAGGAGCUGCUACCUGCAAUAGGUGCAGCUCCAGGAGAGCCAGGGGUGCGGUAGUUAACUGCAGAGCAUCCAACGUGGUUACCUGUAAAUAACUCCUUUGCUGUUCUCGGAGGUCCCGUGUUCUGCUUGGUGUGUGAUGGAGCCCUGCUUGCCUUCCCCUGCGUGGAGCAGUGAGGCGCGUGCAGGGCGGUGUGCCGCAGCCCAUGGAGGGUCUGCUGCGGUUGCUUAUCCUUGUGUGGAUUUUGCUAAAAUGGAAGAAAUGGCUCAAAAACGGGGGGGAUGGGGUGGCUGGCUCCCACAUCUCCUUAGGAAGCUUGGUGGGAACGCAAACCUCAUCGCUGCUCUUCAGCUCUGGGAAGCACUGCCGGCUGUUUUUCCUGCCUCCUGCUUUCUGUUGGCUGUGGGGUGGGAUUACAGCUACUGAUAUGUUGUGGGAAGCACUUUUCUCACGGUAUUCUCAGCCUGGACCGGGAAACAGAGGAAACAUCCCAAGUGAGGUCUUCCUUGGGUAACAUCAGUGUGACUUCGGGACUGGUGAGACCAGGAUAACCACCACCCAACUGUCCGUAAUCCCAAAUGCACAGCACCAGAGCUCUGCAGCUAUUAAGCAGAUGCUUCCUUACAGAGCAGCUCCCUGUGUAGGAUGUCCUAUGGCUCAUGUAAGCAAGGCAGGAGCGAAAAGCAUGUCCUUGAGGAUGCCCCAGUGGGCUUUUCCAUCUCCAUACCUUCUUGCAGUCCCAGUAAAAUACCAGAAUGUGGUGCGUUUGCUC
rnacentral:lncRNA from 1 species